GACGAACGCUGGCGGCGUGCCUAAUACAUGCAAGUAGAACGCUGAAGGAGGAGCUUGCUCUUCUGGAUGAGUUGCGAACGGGUGAGUAACGCGUAGGUAACCUGCCUGGUAGCGGGGGAUAACUAUUGGAAACGAUAGCUAAUACCGCAUAAGAGUAGAUGUUGCAUGACAUUUACUUAAAAGGUGCAAUUGCAUCACUACCAGAUGGACCUGCGUUGUAUUAGCUAGUUGGUGGGGUAACGGCUUACCAAGGCGACGAUACCUAGCCGACCUGAGAGGGUGAUCGGCCACACUGGGACUGAGACACGGCCCAGACUUCUACGGGAGGCAGCAGUAGGGAAUCUUCGGACAUGGACGGAAGUCUGACCGAGCAACGCCGCGUGAGUGAAGAAGGUUUUCGGAUCGGAAAGCUCUGUUGUAAGAGAAGAACGAGUGUGAGAGUGGAAAGUUCACACUGUGACGGUAUCUUACCAGAAAGGGACGGCUAACUACGUG
rnacentral:rRNA from 1 species